rnacentral:misc_RNA from 1 species
AAGUCGUAACAAGGUUUCCGUAGGUGAACCUGCGGAAGGAUCAUUAUUGAAUAAACCUGAUGUGGUUGUUGCUGGCUCUCUCGGGAGUAUGUGCACGCCCGUCAUCUUUAUAUUUCCACCUGUGCACCUUUUGUAGACCCGCGCGAGUUGAGCAAUCAAGUCAAGUAGGCCUACGUUUUAUCAUAUACCCCAUAGUAUGUAUCAGAAUGUAUCAGUGGGCUUUGUGCCUAUAAACACUAUACAACUUUCAGCAACGGAUCUCUUGGCUCUC